UACACAGGUGCUAUGGAGAAAUAACUGCUUCCAUUUGCUAUAGGAAGUAGAAUUUUCACUUAGUUAAGGAAAGUAACCAGACAUAAAUAUCUUUCUAUGUAGAGACCAUCAUUAUGUUAAAAGAAAUCUAAUAAUUUUUUCUAGUUUUUCUUAGGGGUAAGACCUAGGAGAAAUGUUUUGCUGUUGGCGAAAGGUGGAGUGUUUAAUGGGAAGGCAGAAAUUUUGCAAGGUUUCACAGUGAGAUCAGCUUAGAGAAAGAAACACUCUUAAGAGGCAUUAUGCCAGAUAAGUAUGUAUGUGGGACUGCCUUUUAUUUCAAAGGGGAAAUGCUGCCUUGGUAUCUUGAAACUUGAAGAACAUCCCCUGUUUCAGCCGCUUAGCUGGAUUUGUGCUUCUGAGAGCCUUUACUAUUCCACAGAAAGAGAGAUUCUGAGCACUAUAUUUUUGUAGUUCUUAUUUGCCACCUCUCUUAGAAAUCCAAAGAGAACGUAUAGUUUAUCAGGAAUGGAUGAACCCUCUGGAGGCAGAGUUCGGUUGGGGAAAAUUUUCAGGAUAUGGAGAACAGAUAUCAAUGAACACAAGCAAUGCUGCUGUGAGAAGAGAGAGCUGGGAGUACUCAAGGCUCACAUGAAUUCCUACAAGAGAGGUAGGCUUGUGUCAUCUGUUACAUGAAUGAAGCUAUGAAUGUCAAACAACACUUCCAGCAUCUGAGCUUCGUGCAGAUGGGUGACAUUAGAUCUAGAUCCUGGUAACUGAAGCAAUGCAAACUCAUGGAUUGUCCUUUGCUGUAUGUUUAUCAUGUGAACUUCCAGUCUGCCCAUCUGCAAAACCACCAGGGACACAGCUGGGAGAAAUAAAAGCUAAGAUGAAGGGCAGAUGAAGAGCCUCUGUUGCAGUGAACUCAGAGCAGGGACAUUGUCUUGAAAAGAGAAAAAAACAGAGAGCAGUACAAAGAGAGUCUGAAGAGCCCUGUGGUCCCAAAGGGCUGCCUGCCCCUUCUUUUAGCAGCUUUCAAGGUGAGUCCUGUUUGAUUUAUUUUGGCAUAUCUUUAUGCUGAAGAGCUGUGUCGCUGAGCUGCAUUUAGCAGAGUGUGAGCACAUGGAAGUUGCCUUUGGUACUUUACAUAUCUGUGUCUCCUUUCAUCCCAGGUUCUGUUAGUAAGAUAAAAGGUCCUUGUAGGAGUUGAUGCAGGAUUAGGGCGUACAGUGGGAAUGGCACAGAGAUCAGAAGCAGAGCUCUUUCAAAGCCAAAUGGGCCCCAGCAAAGACUACAAGCUAAACAAAACACAGGACUUGAUGGAAAACAUGUUAGUGUUCUCUCUCCUUUAAACCAUGUCGAUCUUCCCUGCUGCAACUGUGGCACUCCUUUGUUUUUUCCAGUGAGAAUGAGAAUAAAAAAAUCUAUUUAAAGUCUUUAGGAAGUGAAUCUUACACCUGAAAUAAGUAUGUUUUCAUGAAGAUUAACAUAGGCUUGUUCUGAGAAGUGAAUUGGGUGAACAGAAAACAGAUUGAUAACGCAGAUAACACUCUAUGCCACUCAUGAAAUUUUAUCCAGCGAGCUGCAGCCUGAA